rnacentral:rRNA from 1 species
UGGCUGGUAGCCUAACACAUGCAAGUCGAACGGCAGCACAGAGGAGCUUGCUCCUUGGGUGGCGAGUGGCGGACGGGUGAGGAAUACAUCGGAAUCUACUCUGUCGUGGGGGAUAACGUAGGGAAACUUACGCUAAUACCGCAUACGACCUACGGGUGAAAGCAGGGGAUCUUCGGACCUUGCGCGAUUGAAUGAGCCGAUGUCGGAUUAGCUAGUUGGCGGGGUAAAGGCCCACCAAGGCGACAAUCCGUAGCUGGUCUGAGAGGAUGAUCAGCCACACUGGAACUGAGACACGGUCCACACUCCUACGGGAGGCAGCAUUGGGGAAUAUUGGACAAUGGGCGCAAGCCUGAUCCANCCAUACCCCGUGGGUGAAGAAGGCCUUCGGGUUGUAAAGCCCUUUUGUUGGGAAAGAAAUCCAGCCGGCUAAUACCNGGUUGGGAUGACGGUUCCC